rnacentral:rRNA from 1 species
CCUACGGGAGGCAGCAGUGGGGAAUAUUGCACAAUGGGGGAAACCCUGAUGCAGCGACGCCGCGUGAAGGAAGAAGUACUUCGGUAUGUAAACUUCUAUCAGCAGGGAAGAAAAUGACGGUACCUGACCAAGAAGCCCCGGCUAACUACGUGCCAGCAGCCGCGGUAAUACGUAGGGGGCAAGCGUUAUCCGGAUUUACUGGGUGUAAAGGGAGCGUAGGCGACUAAGCAAGUCAGAAGUGAAAGCCCGGGGCCCAACUCCGGGACUGCUUUUGAAACUGUUGAACUAGAGUGCAGGAGAGGUAAGUGGAAUUCCUAGUGUAGCGGUGAAAUGUGUAGAUAUUAGGAGGAACACCAGUGGCGAAGGCGGCUUACUGGACUGUAACUGACGCUGAGGCUCGAAGGCGUGGGGAGCAAACAGGAUUAGAUACCCCUGUAGUC